rnacentral:rRNA from 1 species
UACGUAGGGUGCGAGCGUUGUCCGGAAUUAUUGGGCGUAAAGAGCUCGUAGGCGGUUUGUUGCGUCGGCCGUGAAAACCUGCAGCUUAACUGUGGGCCUGCGGCCGAUACGGGCAGACUUGAGUUCGGUAGGGGAGACUGGAAUCCUGGUGUAGCGGUGAAAUGCGCAGAGUAUCAGGAGGAACACCGGUGGCGAAGGCGGGUCUCUGGGCCGAUGACUGACGCUGAGGAGCGAAGCGUGGGGAGCGAACAGG